AUGGUGCCAGGAACAAACUCGGCCUGUAGAAGAUACAGGGGAUCCUGAAGGGCAAGGGAAAUCAAAAGAACGGAAUAUUGUUUAAAUGGAGAAAAACUGCAACACAGGAAUUUGAGAGUGAAAAGAGAAGAAAUCAUGAAGUGACAAGGAUAUCAUCUCUCUUCAGAAAUGUGCUGUCCUCCUUCAUCAAUAUCACUACUCCAACUCUUUGAGGUUUUCGGACGCAGUGGGUAGUACUACUGCCUUUGAUUCGGAUGCUUCAGGCUCGAGCCCCACCCCAGGACUUGACAGUACAUUCUCAAUUCAGCCAAACAGGUUAAGAAUCAAUCUGCAAAUACAUCUCACACACCAAUGACAGACAGUAACAGCAGGAAAGAUUCCUGAUUUGCCACAUGAUGAAAUGGACGUUGAAGCUUUUACCAUCACUACUUAAAGAUCCAAGAUACAACAUGCUUAUUAAAAUUUUUGGUACAUUAUUUGUGUCAUCCUCUGUGAAGACAGAACCAAAAAUAUACAUUUAAUUGGUCCACCAUCUCUUUGUUUCUCAUUAUA